UACGUAGGGGGCAAGCGUUGUCCGGAAUCAUUGGGCGUAAAGAGCGUGUAGGCGGCCAAGCAGGUCCGCUGUGAAAACUCGAGGCUCAACCUCGAGACGUCGGUGGAAACCGUUUGGCUAGAGUCCGGAAGAGGAGAGCGGAAUUCCCGGUGUAGCGGUGAAAUGCGCAGAUAUCGGGAAGAACACCCGUGGCGAAGGCGGCUCUCUGGGACGGUACUGACGCUGAGACGCGAAAGCGUGGGGAGCGAACAGG
rnacentral:rRNA from 1 species